rnacentral:rRNA from 1 species
UACGUAGGGUGCAAGCGUUGUCCGGAAUUAUUGGGCGUAAAGAGCUCGUAGGCGGCUUGUCACGUCGGGUGUGAAAGCCCGGGGCUUAACCCCGGGUCUGCAUUCGAUACGGGCUAGCUAGAGUGUGGUAGGGGAGAUUGGAAUUCCUGGUGUAGCGGUGGAAUGCGCAGAUAUCAGGAGGAACACCGAUGGCGAAGGCAGAUCUCUGGGCCGUAACUGACGCUGAGGAGCGAAAGCAUGGGGAGCGAACAGG